AGCCUUCAGCCCGACAAGUAUUGAAGGUGAUGCCUGCCCAGUGACAUUACGUUCAACGGCCGCGGUAUCCUAACCGUGCGAAGGUAGCGCAAUCAAUUGUCUCAUAAAUCGAGACUUGUAUGAAUGGCUAAACGAGGUCUUAACUGUCUCUUACAGGUAAUCAGUGAAAUUGAUCUUCCUGUGCAAAAGCAGGAAUAAGCACAUAAGACGAGAAGACCCUGUGGAACUUAAAAAUCAGCGACCACUACAUAUCACACCAUAAACCUAUUAGGCCCACACCCCAAAAGAACUGGUCCGCAUUUUUCGGUUGGGGCGACCUUGGAGAAAAACAAACCCUCCAAAAUCAAGACCAUGCCUCUUAACCAAGAGCAACCUCUCAACGUACUAACAGUAAUCCAGACCCAGUAUAACUGACCAACGGACCAAGCUACCCCAGGGAUAACAGCGCAAUCUCCUUCAAGAGCCCAUAUCGACAGGGAGGUUUACGACCUCGAUGUUGGAUCAGGACAUCCUAAUGGUGCAGCCGCUAUUAAGGGUUCGUUUGUUCAACGAUUAACAGUCCU
rnacentral:rRNA from 1 species